AAAUGGAUGUUGUCAUCUGAAGAGAAAGUUAUCCUGGGCCCAUGUUUAGAGGCAUUUGGGGCAUAUCUGACACAUAUCACAAUCAAGCUGCAUGCACACUUGAGUUUAUUCAGAGAGAAGUUGUGGGCAUCAGUCCGGAAACUGGAUAAAAAAUUUGCUGCUGGAAUGUGAGACAAAUAAAGGCAUGGAAUGAACCCAAAUGUAUGAACACUGCUACGAAAACUAAUGGACUUUGAAUGGCUUGCCAGUUAAUUCCAAUGGAAUUGAAGAAGAGACUCUGACAAGAUUUUCAAGUUUGUGUUUAAUUUAAAAGUUUAUCUUCAUAGAUAAGCAAUUUAAAGGCUACCAUGACACAAGUUGCAGCUCCAAAAACAUUUCUUAGUCAAGUUGUAUAGCUACAAGCAGCACAAAACCAAAGAAGUGGAUUUGAUGAAGUCAUGUUGUAGUAUUGCUGAACAAUGUUCACCAGUUAGAGAUUGAGGUGGAAUGUGAGUUAACAGUGGACGUGGUCUUACUUUGCAGCAAGAGCAAAACCCUAAAAGUUUCAAUGCUGAAGAGGGAUACAUUUUAAACACUAUAAAUUUACUGAUUUGUGUAAUUUUACUUACAUUUCUACAGAAAAAUAAUCAAUAAAACAUUUACAGAAAUUUUCUGUAAAAAUAAUUUUUUAAUCUGUAAAAAUGAACGGCAAAUUUCUGUGGAAAUUAACGGCAAAUGUCUGAAAAUUAACGGCAAAUGUCUGAAAAUUAACGGCAAAUGUCUGUAAAAAUUAACGGCAAAUGUCUGUGGAAAUUAACGGCAAAUGUCUGUGGAAAUUAACGGCAAAUGUCUGGAAAUUAACGGCAAAUUUCUGUGAAAAUUAACGGCAAAUGUCUGUGGAAAUUAACGGCAAAUGUCUGAAUAUUAACGGCAAAUGUCUGUAAAAAUUAACGGCAAAUGUCUGUGGAAAUUAACGGCAAAUUUCUGUGGAAAUUAACGGCAAAUGUCUGAAAAUUAACGGCAAAUGUCUGUGAAAAUUAACGGCAAAUGUUUGUGAAAAUUAACGGCAAAUGUCUGUGAAAAUACAUUUUUGAUCUGUAAAAAUAGUAUGAAUUGCCUUUAAAAAACAUAAUUUUGAUGUGAUUGUUAAUUACAAGGAAAUACUGUCAUUUUAAUGGUAAAUCUUUAAAUAACAGAAAAUAUCUGUAAAACAAAAGCAUUUUACUGUUUAAUGAAAAAAUUGGAAAAUUCUGUAAAAAUAUACAGAAUAUUACCUGUAAAAAAACGU